GAGAAAUAGAAAGGUGCAGCUGCCUAUUGGAGGGGAUGAAUAAACAUUGAAAAAGAAGUCUGCAACAGCCCAAAAAGGAAGAAAGAAGGAUUUUAAAAAUGAAUAAAAGUGGAGGUCAUGUGCACGCACAAAAAACACUAAGAUACUAUCAUUUGAACCAUAAUUUUGGUGAUUUUGGAACCUUUGAUGCAUGUCAUCAUGGAUAUAACUCCUUAUAUUGGGGUGACAUGGGAC
rnacentral:lncRNA from 1 species